rnacentral:rRNA from 1 species
CAGUAGCCGCGGGAAUACGAAGGUCCCGAGCGUUGUUCGGAAUCACUGGGCGUAAAGGGAGCGUAGGCGGCGUGGUAAGUCAGAUGUGAAAUCCCGGGGCUCAACCCCGGAACUGCAUCCGAUACUGCCAUGCUAGAGGAUUGGAGAGGUAGCUGGAAUUCUUGGUGUAGCAGUGAAAUGCGUGGAGAUCAGGAGGAACACUCGUGGCGAAAGCGAGCUGCCGGACAAUAACUGACGCUGAGGCUCGAAGGCCAGGGUAGCGAAAGGGAUUAGAUACCCCUGUAGUCCCUGUCUCUUAUAC